UCUGCUGUGAGACUGGUGGCCAACAACUUUUGGAAUUCAAAAGCUCUGUCAGUCUGUUUUGAUUUUUCUCUGGCUCCUCCCUCUCUUACCGCUGGCUGAAUGGCAACUCCGAAGUCACAGCCAGUAAUGGAAUUCAGCUUAGUGAUGGGAACAGUACUCUCACCAUAGUCAGUGUGACUCGAUACAACGAUGGGCCAUUUAGCUGUAAUGCUUUCAGCACCGUCAGUAAUGGAACCACUAAGCCUCUACAUCUCAGUAUCAGCUGUCUACUCUGACCAUGUCCUGCUCUGCCCAGUCCAACCCUCAGGCUGAGUUUCAAUUUUGCUUUCAAUGGGAACCAUCUGAAUGGGAUAAAUCCAGAUCUGAAGCUAUACAGUGCUGUGGAGAGCCAGAGUGGCCUAAGCUCCUGCCUGGCUUUCAACAACAGAACCAUGAGCUACAGCAACAUCACCAGACAGAUCACCAUCAGCUGUGGUUCAGUGUCAGUACAGCUGGGGGUUAGUGUCUGGCUCCUUCUCCUCCUCUCCUCAUUGGCCAGGAUCCUCAUCUGAAUGUCAAUGGACAAGCAAAACUCACUGACUGAAAAAUAACACACAGACCAAAAAAUGUAUUUAGUUAAGUGAACCCAUAAAAUAUAAUUAUUCACACAUACAUGUCACUUACGUAGUUCCAUGGGCCAGGGCAAUGUGAAUAAAAUGAUGUAAUUGACUGAAAGAGUUUUAUAAUAUGGUGAAAUAAUGUCAUAGAUAUUGAUAUAACCGAACAUGGUCACUCUUGUUCAAUGUCAGACCACCGUGUGCUUCUUGUGAUGAAGUAUAAUGGCUAUGAUAUCAGGAGGGUGUGUGUCCCCACUGGCUUGUAAUCAACUGAGUAUACAAAACAUUAAGAACUGCUCUUUCCAUGACAUAGACUGACCAGGUGAAUCCAGGUGAAAGCUAUUAUCCCUUAUUGAUGUUACUUGUUAAAUCCACUUCAAUCAGUAUAGAAUGAAGGGGAAGAGACAGGUUAUAGAAGGAUUUUUAAGCCUUGAGACAAUUGAGACAUGUAUUGUGCCUGUGUGCCAUUCAGAGGGUCAAUGGGUAAGAGACAAUAUUUAAGUGCCUUUGAAUGGGGUAUGGUCGUAGCUGCCAGGCCAACAGUUUGAGGGUGCAAUUCAAUAUUAGGAAGGUGUUCCUGAUGUUUUGUACACUCACUGUAUUUAGAACGAGAGAAUACAUUGCACCAUAUUAAUCUAGUCAAAUAUCUAUCUAUUCAAAUAUUUACAGAGAAGCAUGAAAAAUGUGUAGAAAUAUAUUUAACCACUAUGAUGUUAUUUAAAACACGGCAUCCCUCAUCAUCACGGUGGUAUUUACAGGAGUAAAACUUAGGGAAACACAAGAGGCACCUGUGUAAUGAUCAUGCUGUUAAAUCAUUCUUAAUAUGCCGCACCUGUCAGGUGGAUGGAUUAUCUUGAAAAAGGCAAAAAUGCUCAGGUUAAUGUAAACUUCCUACUUCAACUGUAUCUUGUCAAAUAUUAACAGAGAAGAAUACCAUGGUAUUUACAGGAGUGAAACUGACACAUGACUCUUUCACAAUGUCUUACAAAUAUUUUCCACAGAUUUCUGGACCUGUCAUCCUGAGAAGGAACAUUUCUGCUGUAAUUGCAUCCUGAUGCAGAAUAUAUCUCUCAUUCCACUAUCAUGCUGUCGAUGGAAUUAUUUCUCUGAACAUUUUAGCAAAACAUCUUUCAUUGUCUUUUUUCAUUAUUGAAGAUUUAUUCUUCCAGAUUAGUAUCACAAUGAAUAAUCAUAUAUGAAGAAUCAUAUAUCAUGUACAGUAUUUCAACACCUCUCAGUACUGUAAUUUGCUCGAGACCUGGUGGAAUAACCAAAGUAUAUCAAGCAUUCUUGUUGGAAUAUGACUCUGAUUUGAAUAUAAAGUUCUUAAUUGUUUUGAUAAAGUUGUUUUAAACAAACUAUUAUUUUCAAUAAAUCUGAAUGUUCAAUAAUGGUA